GAAGCCCCGGCACCCUUUUGGGGUGCUUCUCCAGACUUGCAUUCUGGUGUGCUCUCACCUCGGA
rnacentral:tRNA from 1 species